UCAAGUAAUUAAGUGCAUGUGGUGGAUGCCUUGGCAGUCAGAGGCGAUGAAAGACGUGAUAGCCUGCGAAAAGCUCCGGGGAGGCGGCAAAUAUCCUUUGAUCCGGAGAUGUCUGAAUGGGGGAACCCACCUACUUUAAGGUAGGUAUUGCAACAUGAAUACAUAGUGUUGCAAGGCGAACGAGGGGAAGUGAAACAUCUCAGUACCCUUAGGAAAAGAAAUCAAUUGAGAUUCCCUCAGUAGCGGCGAGCGAACGGGGAUCAGCCCAUUAAGUUAUGUGUGUUUUAGUGGAACGCUCUGGGAAGUGCGAACGUAGAGGGUGAUAUUCCCGUACACGAAAGGGCACACAUAAUGAUGACGAGUAGGGCGAGGCACGUGAAACCUUGUCUGAAUAUGGGGGGACCAUCCUCCAAGGCUAAAUACUCCUGACUGACCGAUAGUGAACCAGUACCGUGAGGGAAAGGCGAAAAGAACCCCUGUGAGGGGAGUGAAAUAGAUCCUGAAACCGCAUGCAUACAAGCAGUGGGAGCACCUUCGUGGUGUGACUGCGUACCUUUUGUAUAAUGGGUCAGCGACUUAUAUUCAGUAGCGAGGUUAACCGUAUAGGGGAGCCGUAGAGAAAUCGAGUCUUAAUAGGGCGUUUAGUUGCUGGGUAUAGACCCGAAACCAGGCGAUCUAUCCAUGAGCAGGUUGAAGGUUGGGUAACACUAACUGGAGGACCGAACCCACUGUCGUUGAAAAGCCAGGGGAUGACUUGUGGAUAGGGGUGAAAGGCUAAUCAAGCCUGGUGAUAGCUGGUUCUCCCCGAAAGCUAUUUAGGUAGCGCCUCGGACGAAUACCAUAGGGGGUAGAGCACUGUUUCGGCUAGGGGGUCAUCCCGACUUACCAAACCGAUGCAAACUCCGAAUACCUAUGAGUACUAUCCGGGAGACAGACUGCGGGUGCUAACGUCCGUAGUCAAGAGGAAAACAAUCCAGACCGCCAGCUAAGGCCCCAAAAUCAUAGUUAAGUGGGAAACGAUGUGGGAAGGCAUAGACAGCUAGGAGGUUGGCUUAGAAGCAGCCACCCUUUAAAGAAAGCGUAAUAGCUCACUAGUCGAGUCGGCCUGCGCGGAAGAUGUAACGGGGCUAAAACUAUGUGCCGAAGCUGCGGAUGUAUACUUUGUAUACGUGGUAGGGGAGCGUUCUGUAAGCCGAUGAAGGUGUGUUGAGAAGCAUGCUGGAGGUAUCAGAAGUGCGAAUGCUGACGUGAGUAACGACAAAACGGGUGAAAAACCCGUUCGCCGAAAGACCAAGGGUUCCAGUCCAACGUUAAUCGGGGCUGGGUGAGUCGACCCCUAAGGCGAGGCCGAAAGGCGUAGUCGAUGGGAAAAUGGUUAAUAUUCCAUUACUUCUGUGUAAUGCGAUGAGAGGACGGAGAAGGCUAAAUCAGCCUGGCGUUGGUUGUCCAGGUGAAAGGAUGUAGGCAUGUAUCUUAGGCAAAUCCGGGGUACUCUAUGCUGAGAUCUGAUAGCAAGCUGUACUUGUACAGCGAAGUGGUUGAUGCCAUGCUUCCAGGAAAAGUCUCUAAGCUUCAGUUACACAGGAAUCGUACCCGAAACCGACACAGGUGGUCAGGUCGAGUAGACCAAGGCGCUUGAGAGAACUCUGCUGAAGGAACUAGGCAAAAUGGUACCGUAACUUCGGGAGAAGGUACGCUGUUGUUGGUGAUGGAACUCGCUUCCUGAGCUGACGACAGCCGCAGAAACCAGGCCGCUGCAACUGUUUAUUAAAAACAUAGCACUCUGCAAACACGAAAGUGGACGUAUAGGGUGUGAUGCCUGCCCGGUGCUGGAAGGUUAAUUGAUGGGGUUAGCGUAAGCGAAGCUCUUGAUCGAAGCCCCAGUAAACGGCGGCCGUAACUAUAACGGUCCUAAGGUAGCGAAAUUCCUUGUCGGGUAAGUUCCGACCUGCACGAAUGGCAUAAUGAUGGCGGCGCUGUUCCAGCAGAGGCUCAGUGAAAUCGAAAUCGCUGUGAAGAUGCAGUGUACCCGCGGCUAGACGGAAAGACCCCGUGAACCUUUACUGCAGCUUGACACUGAACUUUGACCUUACUUGUAGGAUAGGUGGGAGGCUUUGAAGCUGGAACGCUAGUUCCAGUGGAGCCGUCCUGAAAUACCACCCUGGUAAUGUUGAGGUUCUAACUCUGUCCCGUGAUCCGGGACGAGGACCGUGUCUGGUGGGUAGUUUGACUGGGGCGGUCUCCUCCUAAAGAGUAACGGAGGAGUACGAAGGUGCGCUCAGCGUGGUCGGAAAUCACGCGUAGAGUAUAAAGGCAAAAGCGCGUUAACUGCGAGACCCACAAGUCGAGCAGGUACGAAAGUAGGUCUUAGUGAUCCGGUGGUUCUGUAUGGAAGGGCCAUCGCUCAACGGAUAAAAGGUACUCUGGGGAUAACAGGCUGAUACCGCCCAAGAGUUCAUAUCGACGGCGGUGUUUGGCACCUCGAUGUCGGCUCAUCUCAUCCUGGGGCUGAAGCAGGUCCCAAGGGUAUGGCUGUUCGCCAUUUAAAGAGGUACGCGAGCUGGGUUUAGAACGUCGUGAGACAGUUCGGUCCCUAUCUACCGUGGGCGCUGGAAAUUUGAGAGGAUCUGCUCCUAGUACGAGAGGACCAGAGUGGACGAACCUCUGGUGUACCGGUUGUGACGCCAGUCGCAUCGCCGGGUAGCUAUGUUCGGAAGGGAUAACCGCUGAAAGCAUCUAAGCGGGAAGCCUACCUCAAGAUAAGAUUUCCCUAGGACUUUAUGUCCUCUAAAGAGCCGUUCGAGACUAGGACGUUGAUAGGUUGGAUGUGGAAGCAUAGUGAUAUGUGAAGCUGACCAAUACUAAUUGCUCGUGAGGCUUGACUA
rnacentral:rRNA from 1 species